UCCAUCGACCGAGCACCAGAGCUAGCGGAUCACCAACUUCAAAGCAUAUUCCCCUAGUCCAUCGGACGGGCUCCAUCGGCCAAUUCUGACUCUGUGCAUCUUUUGAUUUCUUCCAAAUCGGCCACCUUCCCUUUACGAAAAUUACCCUUCUUGACACGUGUCCAAAAAUGGUGUCAACACAUAUCCCUUAGUUUCAGAAUAAUUUAUUUUAUUCCGAAACUACUCCAACCAACAUUUAAAGCCAUUCCUCGUGCCCCGUGCACACGGCUUACACCGGACAACUGGGUAAAACUCUUCUUUGCCCCUGAUCUUUCGCCUUCUGUCCGUGCAAACUCAACGCGCCGAUUUACCUUCCGUCUUUUCACCUACCCAGACUGGGCCAUAAAUAUUACCUUCCGUUCUUGUAUCGGCAACAAGCCUCCAUUAGCUACAGCACCUCCCCUCUUCCUUCUUCAGCAAAAAAACCUUAGGUCUUCCUGUAGCAAUGGCAGGCUCCAAGCGCCCCGACGAGGGUCCUUCUGAUGCCCCGCAGGCAAUCUGCCGCCGCGUGGAGUAAGCCCCCUUUCUUCCAUCUAGGAUUGCCACGCUUUUGUUCAACUUAGAUCUCUAAUUUCUCUGCCUCUUUUCUGUGAAGUGACGAUGCUUCUUCCGGUUCCUCCAACUCGGAGGGACCCCCGUUUCUGGUGUUCUUGAGAGCACCAAGGAGUACAUUCGCCAGCUCCUUCGCGAGAAGGAUGAAGCUCAACAAAACUAUUCCCAGGAGACCAUCUGGUCUCAACGUCUUGCCAACGAACUGGAGGCGGCGCAGUCCGAUCGGGCAGUUCUCCAGGCCCAGUUUACCGCCGCCGACUCCAGGGUUGCCUUCUUGGAGUCGCAGGUCCAAGCUCUACACGCCGCAACUGCCACCGCAACUAGAUCGGUGAAUGCUCGCGGCGACACCGUCGUUGCCUGCCUGUAGGACAUCCCCAACCUCGUCCGGGAGGUCGCCGGACAUGGGGUCUAUCGCGGCGCCGCUGUAGCCCUCGCUACAACCCAGUUCCAGACUGGCCACGACCUCUUGCAGGUCGAACCGGUCCACCUCCCGCUAGGCAGUGAAGACUGGUGGGCCUUUGAGGAGCUCGCUGACGACAUGGAGAUGGUAGCUGCUGCCAUCUCCGAAGAUGUUAGUAUAGAGGCGGUCAUCGGCAAUGUCUUUGCCGAUGAUUAGAUUUCUAGGAGUAGCACCUUCCUAGAAAUAACUUUUGCUGUAUCGGCCAGAUCAUCUGAUCAGCCCUUUUGUAAACAAUAUUAUUAAUGAAGUAUUUCCUUUUCC